GACGAACGCUGGCGGCGUGCUUAGCACAUGCAAGUCGAACGGAAAGGCCCUGCUUUUGUGGGGUGCUCGAGUGGCGAACGGGUGAGUAACACGUGAGUAACCUGCCCUUGACUUUGGGAUAACUUCAGGAAACUGGGGCUAAUACCGGAUAGGAGCUCCUGCUGCAUGGUGGGGGUUGGAAAGUUUCGGCGGUUGGGGAUGGACUCGCGGCUUAUCAGCUUGUUGGUGGGGUAGUGGCUUACCAAGGCUUUGACGGGUAGCCGGCCUGAGAGGGUGACCGGCCACAUUGGGACUGAGAUACGGCCCAGACUCCUACGGGAGGCAGCAGUGGGGAAUAUUGCACAAUGGGCGGAAGCCUGACGCAGCAACGCCGCGUGCGGGAUGACGGCCUUCGGGUUGUAAACCGCUUUCGCCUGUGACGAAGCGUGAGUGACGGUAAUGGGUAAAGAAGCACCGGCUAACUACGUG
rnacentral:rRNA from 1 species